AGUCGAACGGAAGUUAGAGCUUCGGUUUUAACUUUAGUGGCGAACGGGUGAGUAACGCGUGAGGAACCUGCCUUUCAGUGGGGGACAACAGUUGGAAACGACUGCUAAUACCGCAUGAUGCUUUUGGGAGACAUCUCCUGGAAGCCAAAGCUUUAUGUGCUGAAAGAUGGCCUCGCGUCUGAUUAGCUAGUUGGUGAGGUAACGGCUCACCAAGGCGACGAUCAGUAGCCGGUCUGAGAGGAUGAACGGCCACAUUGGGACUGAGAUACGGCCCAGACUCCUACGGGAGGCAGCAGUGGGGAAUAUUGGGCAAUGGGGGAAACCCUGACCCAGCAACGCCGCGUGAAGGAAGAAGGCCUUCGGGUUGUAAACUUCUUUUACCAGGGACGAAGGACGUGACGGUACCUGGAGAAAAAGCAACGGCUAACUACGUGCCAGCAGCCGCGGUAAUACGUAGGUUGCAAGCGUUGUCCGGAUUUACUGGGUGUAAAGGGCGUGUAGGCGGAGAUGCAAGUUGGGAGUGAAAUCCAUGGGCUCAACCCAUGAACUGCUCUCAAAACUGUAUCCCUUGAGUAUCGGAGAGGCAAGCGGAAUUCCUAGUGUAGCGGUGAAAUGCGUAGAUAUUAGGAGGAACACCAGUGGCGAAGGCGGCUUGCUGGACGACAACUGACGCUGAGGCGCGAAAGCGUGGGGAGCAAACAGGAUUAGAUACCCUGGUAGUCCACGCUGUAAACGAUGAAUACUAGGUGUGGGAGGACUGACCCCUUCCGUGCCGCAGUUAACACAAUAAGUAUUCCACCUGGGG
rnacentral:rRNA from 1 species